GCCGCGAUGGUGGAACUUGGUAGACACACAAGCUUAAGGAGCUUGCGGGAUCAAACCCAUGAGAGUUCGAGUCUCUCUCGCGGCACCA
rnacentral:tRNA from 1 species